GCAGUCGAGCGGAUGACGGGAGCUUGCUCCUUGAUUCAGCGGCGGACGGGUGAGUAAUGCCUAGGAAUCUGCCUGGUAGUGGGGGACAACGUUUCGAAAGGAACGCUAAUACCGCAUACGUCCUACGGGAGAAAGUGGGGGAUCUUCGGACCUCACGCUAUCAGAUGAGCCUAGGUCGGAUUAGCUAGUUGGUGAGGUAAUGGCUCACCAAGGCGACGAUCCGUAACUGGUCUGAGAGGAUGAUCAGUCACACUGGAACUGAGACACGGUCCAGACUCCUACGGGAGGCAUCAGUGGGGAAUAUUGGACAAUGGGCGAAAGCCUGAUCCAGCCAUGCCGCGUGUGUGAAGAAGGUCUUCGGAUUGUA
rnacentral:rRNA from 1 species